rnacentral:rRNA from 1 species
UUGAUGAAGAAUUUGAUCCUGGUUCAGAAUGAACGUUGGCGGCGUGGAUGAGGCAUGCAAGUCGAACGGGUGUAGCAAUACAUCCGUGGCGGAAGGGUGAGUAAUAUAUGGUUAACCUGCCCUCAAGCGGGGGACAACACUUGGAAACGAGUGCUAAUACCGCAUAAGACCACAGUGGGGCAUCCCACAGGGGUCAAAGCCUUCGGGCACUUGAGGAGGGGGCCAUAACGUAUCAGCUAGUUGGUGAGGUAACGGCUCACCAAGGCAACGACGCGUAGCCGGUCUGAGAGGAUGGUCGGCCACACUGGGACUGAGACACUGCCCAGACUCCUACGGGAGGCUGCAGUCGAGAAUCAUUGUCAAUGGGCGAAAGCCUGAACGUGCGACGCCGCGUGUGGGAUGAAGGCCUUCGGGUUGUAAACCACUGUCAGGGGGAAGGAAUAAGCGUGUAACCCACGCGAUGACUUAUACCCCAGAGGAAGUGACGGCUAACUACGUGCCAGCAGCUGCGGUAAUACGUAGGUCACGAACGUUAUUCGGAAUCACUGGGCUUAAAGGGCGCGUAGGCGGCUUAACAAGUCAUGGUUGAAAUC